AUAGACAUUAAGUAGUCUUCUCCUGAAUGAUCAUUGUAGUCAAAAUGAAAUCAGCAUAGAAAUUACAAAAUUCUUCAAACUGAACGACAAUAGUGACACAAGCUAUCAAAACCUCAUGGAUACAGCAAAGGCAGUGAGAAGUGGAAAGCUCAUAGCCCUAAACACCUACAUCAAAAAGUCUGAAAGAGCACAAACAAAUAAUCUAAGGCCACACUUCAAGGAACUAGAGAAGCAAG
rnacentral:lncRNA from 10 species